AGUCGUCCGCAACUGGACCUAAUGGUCAGGGGUACCUUUAGCUUUUUACCAUCAUCUUAUUUCAAAAAAAGCUCUUUGCAUGCAUUACUUUUUUUAAAAAAAUCUAUGCAUAUAUAUCUUUGUUCUACAUAUAUAGAUGCCCCAGGUUAAUGGAGAAAGCCUAUAAACAUUCUAAGGGAACUUCUGUGUUGUCCUAUGAGUGUUCCUGCAGAGCUUUGAAAUAGGGUCAUUAAGUGCUAAACUCCCCAUUAUUGAGGCAGUACAGCCUUAAUGAUUUUGGCCCAGCUGGGCCUGAAUAAUGAAUAAAUAAGUGGUAUAAAAUAAUUAUGACAGCUUUAAAUGGAACAUUUGCAAGUCUUAGCACAACGCUGGCUGCAAAGUAAAACCUGUGUAUGCAAGUUUAAUUGAGUUUAUUACAUUAAAAUAUGGUUGCUGCAGAAAGGAAUCGCACAGCAGUAUUAUAAUAAAAAUGGUGGCCCGGAGAAUUGGAACCUGCUUGGAAUUUUUAAACGAAAUUCAAAAGAGAAGGUGAAAAGCUAAUAGAAGAAUGUUUGUUAGGAUAACUGGUUGUCAAUGCUCAUGGCGUUCUUUCGUAAUUUGAAAGAUCCAGUGGUUCAAAUAAAAUGAACAGGAUACCUAAGCAUUUCAGGCCGCCUUUACACGUUCUCAAAGUCAGCAUGGCAUUGGCUCAUAUAAAUGCUCCCAUUGCACCUACAACAUGCUAGCCCAAUGCAGGUGAUGCCAGCGGCGUAGUGUGGGUUGUCAGCACCCGGGGCAAGGCAAGUAAUUUGCGCCCCCUAACCCCUAACCUGCCGCCGCUGCCAGCUUCUUCUUGCUGCUGCCUGGUCUGGUCUGGUGUGGUUCUCUCCUGCGCUCAGCACUGUGCUGGGUGGCCGCUGCACUGUCCCUCCCCCAGAUAGUCCCUCGCUCUCUCUCCGCACCGCACGCCUGGCACCCACCCCCUCCAUAGUGGGCGGCGACCCAGCGGCUCGGAUCGGAUUCGCACAGCCAGCACUGCAGUGAGAGAGAGUGAGCCAGGUAGGGGCAGAGAGCUGUGAGUGUGAGCGCGCCCCCCCCCAGGUGUUGCACCCGGUGCGGCCGGGCCCCCCUGCACCCCCCACGCUACGCCACUGGGUGAUGCAUGUGAAUAGGCAGGUGUGAUGAAAGGAGCAACCUGCCCCCACUACUUUCCCAGAAUGCCAAUUUUUCUGGGCUUAGGCUAAUGCAAAUUUUGCCAGUCUGUGCUCAGCUGGCUUAGCCCCAGUUUAUCUGGAGUUGGGACUGAUGCUGCUGUAGCUGGUCUGAGCUGGGAACCCACUGGCUGAUCUGGAGAACCACCACAGGUCAACUCACUCAACCCAGCAGAGCUAGGCCUGCACUGUGAAUGUUUACCUAUCUCUUUUACCUAACCAAGUGAGGAUUAUAAAUGCUAGCAUUUCCACUCUUGCUGAGAAUAAUUUGCCGUUUAUUGACGUCUUCGUUUGCUUGGCUGACUUCUUUUGUUUUGCUCUGGGAUGGACUUGAAUUCUAGAUGUGAGCUGUUCUUCAUUUUUAUUUGCCUUCUCCAGCUUAAACAUAGCACAUGGAUAUAUUUGCAUUGUAAACUUCCCUGGGAUAAAUGUUUUUGAAGAGCAGUUUAGAAAUGUCUUAAAUAUAACAAAUCAGCUAAUUUAUAGCCAGAGGGAAAGUCUUGACAUUCCAGGAAAUAAAUGCUUACAAUGGAGAGUAUUGAUGGCUGUGCUAGUGCAGCGUAAUGACAAAGGUCAUUAUAGGUACUGCCAGAGUGUUAUUCUACUGUUAUAGGCAGGAGGGUAUACUGGCAUACAUCUUAAAAAUUAGAGUGUCUGACCCUGAGAAAUCAGUCAGUUAUAAUUGACAAAUGGAUGUUUCUGUAAUUUCUUGGGAAUUUGCUAAAUCUAUUCCCCCAAGCAUUGCUUAGAAAAGCUUUGGGGCUUGUUCAUCUUUGAUCAUAAUCCCCACUCUGCUCUCUGUUACUCAGUAAAUUAAAUUAUGUGUUUAUAUUAGGGGAAAUAUUCAGCAGUGGUAGUUAUUUACCAAUCCUUCUUCCCAGGGAACAGUGGGAAAUGUAGCUUUGGGAGGGGAAUAGGGUUCUCCUCAAAGAAUCAUAGAGUUGGAAGGGAUCCUGAGAAUCAUCUGGUCCAGUGUUUUCCAAACUUGGGUCUCCAGAUGUUUUUGGUCUUGUCAGCCAAGGAUGAUGGGAGUUGUAGUCCAAACACAGAGCCAAGUUUGGGAAACACAAAUCUAGUCCAACCCCCUGCAAUGCAAUAAUAUGCAGCUGUCCCUUAUGGGGAUCGAACCUGCAACCUUGGCGUUGUCAGCACCCUUAAGAAAUGACAUCUCCCAGGGGGGCAACUUCACCCGCAGAUUACCCAACACCUGCCCCCAAUCCAGAAGGAAUGAGGGGGCAGGGGGCGCUGGGUGCAAAGCACCAUGCAUCUCUUUGGCAACUCUUCAAAGUUGCUGCCGUGAGCAACAAAUACCUGUUUUUUAAGAUGAAAAUUUGGACUUAAUUAACGGGCAUGCUCUGAGCGAGGGGAGAUAAACUACGCUGCUAACUGAUUCAGCCACUGGGGUGCCAAAGGAUUCAAGUGGAAGAGAGGAUUACCAUCCGUAUGGGACUGGUAUGUCAGAACGGAAGGGAGGUGAGCCUCCUUUGUUUCCUUCGGAUAUACUUUGUAUAUGCUAUCUUACCUGGCAAAUCUCCCUGGAAGGACUGACUGCUGGAUUGUUUAUGUACUCAAGCGGGACUGUAGAGUAUUGUAUUAUUGAUAUAAUUUUGGUCUAAUUAUUAACUGUGUGGAAAUGAUUUAUGAAUUUGCAAUUACCUUCAACGAAUUGUUAAGACUAGAAGAAGGAAAUUAUGGUUUCUUUCUAAAGUACAGGCUUAUUUCUUUUGGAAUGAGAUAAAACAAAGAAGUUUAGACAUAUGCCUGCUACAAUUGGAAAAAGCCAGAUUUCCUCCAUUUUGGGACAUGUCACAGUGGAUAAUCACAGGCACGAGGAAGCGAAAGUGAAACGCCAUGGAGAGAAUCUGAGUAC